rnacentral:tRNA from 1 species
GGCUGAGACAGUAAAGCAUCUCCCUUACACCGAGAAGACAUCCGUGCAAAUUGGAUCGCCCUGAGCCAAAC